UAGGGAAUAUUCGACAUUGGCGCAAGUCUGAUCUCGCCACCCCGCGUGUGCGGAGAAGGCCUUCGGGUCGUAAAGCACUUUUUGGCAGGAAUAGGAAGGAAUGUACUUCCAGAAUAAGUCUCGGCUAACUACGUGCCAGCAGCCGCGGUAACACGUAGGAGGCAAACGUUAUCCGGAGUUACUGGGCGUAAAGCGCGUGUAGGUGGUACUGUAAGUAGGGCGUGAAAGCUCCUGGCUCAACUGGGAGAGGCCGUUCUAAACUACAGAACUAGAGGAUGGUAGAGGGAGGUGGAAUUCCAGGUGUAGCGGUGGAAUGCGCAGAUAUCUGGAGGAACACCGGUGGCGAAGGCGGCCUCCUGGACCAUUCCUGACACUCAGACGCGAAAGCUAGGGUAGCAAACG
rnacentral:rRNA from 1 species